UACGUAGGGGGCUAGCGUUGUCCGGAUUUAUUGGGCGUAAAGAGCGUGUAGGCGGCCAGAUAGGUCUGCUGUGAAAACUCGAGGCUCAACCUCGAGAUGUCGGCGGAAACCGUAUGGCUAGAGUCCGGAAGAGGAGAGUGGAAUUCCUGGUGUAGCGGUGAAAUGCGCAGAUAUCAGGAAGAACACCCGUGGCGAAGGCGGCUCUCUGGGACGGUACUGACGCUGAGACGCGAAAGCGUGGGGAGCGAACAGG
rnacentral:rRNA from 1 species